AUUGAACGCUGGCGGCAGGCCUAACACAUGCAAGUCGAGCGGAGCGGCGGACGGGUGAGUAAUGCCUAGGAAUCUGACUGGUAGUGGGGGAUAACGUACGGAAACGGGCGCUAAUACCGCAUACUAUCAGAUGAGCCUAGGUCGGAUUAGUAAGCUGGUGGGGUAAAGGCCUACCAAGGCGACGAUCCGUAACUGGUCGGAGAGGAUGAUCAGUCAAGCUGGAACGUAGACAGUGUCCGAACUCCUACGGGCGUAAGAAGUGGGGAAUAUGGGACAAUUGGCGAAAGCUUGAUCCAGCCAUGCCGCGUGUGUGAAGAAGGUCGUCGAAUUGUAAAGCACUUUAAGUUGGGAGGCGUUACCAACAGAAUAAGCACCGGCUAACUUCGUGCCAGCAGCCGCGGUAAUUC
rnacentral:rRNA from 1 species